rnacentral:rRNA from 1 species
UACGGAGGAUCCAAGCGUUAUCCGGAUUUAUUGGGUUUAAAGGGUGCGUAGGCGGAUUGAUAAGUUAGAGGUGAAAUGUCCGAGCUUAACUCGGGAACUGCCUCUAAUACUGUUGAUCUAGAGAGUAGAUGCGGUAGGCGGAAUGUAUGGUGUAGCGGUGAAAUGCUUAGAGAUCAUACAGACCACCGAUUGCGAAGGCAGCUUACCAAUCUAUAUCUGACGUUGAGGCACGAAAGCGUGGGGAGCAAACAGG